rnacentral:lncRNA from 1 species
UCUUGUCUUGGGGAAGACUUGGUGGAAUCUGAUGAUGCAAAACUUGGACACGUGGAAGGCAUGCGUGGGAAUCUUGCAGAAUAGGUGCAGGCUAGGUGGUAGUGUUGGCAUGCAUUGGUGCAGACUAGGUGGGAGUUGUCUUGUCUUGGGGAAGACUUGGUGGAAUCUGAUGAUGCAAAGGUGUGACACGUGGAAGGCAUGCGUGGGAAUCUUGCAGAAUAGGUGCAGACUAGGUGGUAGUGUUGGCAUGCAUUGGUGCAGACUAGGUGGGAGUUGUCUUGUCUUGGGGAAGACUUGGUGGAAUCUG